rfam:Vibrio furnissii NCTC 11218 chromosome 1, complete sequence.
GCGUCCGUAGCUCAGCUGGAUAGAGUACCUGGCUACGAACCAGGCGGUCAGAGGUUCGAAUCCUCUCGGACGCG